GUGCACCAGGCGAGAAUCCUCCGCAAUGCACGCAAGUGUGACGGGGGAUUCCAAGUGUUAUUGCAUUUUGUGUGAUAACUUUUCUUAAAUGUAAAUAGUUUGAGGAAUAAGGGCUGGGUAAGACGGGUGCCAGCCGCCGCGGUAAUACCCGCAGCUCAAGUGGUCUGGAGUUUUAUUGGGUCUAAAGCGUUCGUAGCUGGGUCUAUAAGUUCUCUGUGAAAUCUAACGGCUUAACCGUUAGGCGUGCAGAGGAUACUGUAGACCUCGAGACUGGGAUGGGUCAAGGGUACUCUCGGGGUAGGGGUGAAAUCCAAUAAUCCUGAGGGGACCACCUGUGGCGAAGGCGCUUGGCUAGAACAGGUCUGACAGUGAGGGACGAAAGCUAGGGGAGCGAACGGGAUUAGAUACCCCUGUAGU
rnacentral:rRNA from 1 species